rnacentral:rRNA from 1 species
AUUGAACGCUGGCGGCAGGCUUAACACAUGCAAGUCGAACGAGUGGCGGACGGGUGAGUAAUGUAUGGGGAUCUGCCCGAUAGCGGGGGAUAACUACUGGAAACGGUGGCUAAUACCGCAUACUAUCGGAUGAACCCAUAUGGGAUUAGCUAGUAGGUGGGGUAAAGGCUCACCUAGGCGACGAUCUCUAGCUGGUAGGAGAGGAUGAUCAGCCACACUGGAACUGAGACACGGCCCAGACUCCUACGUGAGGCAGCAGUGGGGAAAAUUGAACAAUGGGCGCAAGCCUGAUGCAGCCAUGCCGCGUGGAUGAAGAAGGCCGUAGGGAUGUAAAGUACUUUCAGCGGAGAGGCGGUACCCGCAGAAGAAGCACCGGUGAACUCAUUGCCAGCCGCCGCGGUAAUAC